UACGUAGGGGGCAAGCGUUGUCCGGAUUUAUUGGGCGUAAAGAGCGUGUAGGCGGUCAGGUAGGUCCGUUGUGAAAACUCGAGGCUCAACCUCAAGACGUCGAUGGAAACCAUCUAGCUAGAGUCCGGAAGAGGAGAGUGGAAUUCCUGGUGUAGCGGUGAAAUGCGCAGAUAUCAGGAAGAACACCCGUGGCGAAGGCGGCUCUCUGGGACGGUACUGACGCUGAGACGCGAAAGCGUGGGGAGCGAACAGG
rnacentral:rRNA from 1 species